GCUCGAGAUAGAAGGUUUGUCGCAUCGCAUAUCACGAUUUGGCAGGUUACACCAAUAGCCCGCAAACAAAAGGGACCACCCGAUCUGUUCUCGGAUAACCGCAUGCAACGCGAGCACGUUUGACUUCAUUCCAAUCAAUACACCAAGUUCCCUAUGAGCUAUCGCAAGACUUGCACGUAACAUCCGUAUAGUUUGGAGAGAUAGAUUUGCUACGAGAGUUGCGAAUUCCAAGAAACAAGAGUUAUACGGCAUAAGCUAGUGAUCUCCGACGACAGAUUAAGCCACAACGAGACUCGGCUGCGUUGGAUUUAAGUAUCGAAAGAGUAAACACAAGACACCCAAAGGCCUUCGAAAGAGGGCCUUUGAUUUACAGGCUUAGGUGCUUCGGUCGUGCCACAGCAACGAGACUCUCUGAGCGUAGUGAUAGCAUCUAGGGACGGCAAAGGCAAGACCGAUUGAGCCGAAUUUACUGCAUUUCGUUCCCGCCAACCAUACGUGCGAUAGCGAGACCGCAAGGACACGAAGGAGCAGACUACACGAUCGUCGCAAUGCUUGCCGAUUAGGCAAGACAGAAAGGGAUCUAGCGCACCGGUGGCAGCGUGUGAAGUACAGUAAAGUCAACAUCAAGGGGCCCCCACCGAUAUGAAUAAGUUAAAGAUGUGAACUUUGUAAAGGGUGGCAAAAUGUA